rnacentral:rRNA from 1 species
UACGGAGGGGGCUAGCGUUGUUCGGAAUUACUGGGCGUAAAGGGUGCGCAGGCGGCGUCGCAAGUCAGGCGUGAAAUCCCCGGGCUUAACCUGGGAACUGCACUUGAAACUACGAUGCUGGAGUAUGGCAGAGGGAGGUGGAAUUCCACGUGUAGCGGUGAAAUGCGUAGAGAUGUGGAGGAACACCGAUGGCGAAGGCAGCCUCCUGGGCCAAUACUGACGCUGAGGCGCGAAAGCUAGGGGAGCAAACGGG